rnacentral:rRNA from 1 species
UAGGGAAUAUUGGGCAAUGGGCGCAAGCCUGACCCAGCCAUGCCGCGUGCAGGAAGAAGGCGUUCUGCGUUGUAAACUGCUUUUAUAUAGGAAGAAACGACCCUUGCGAGGGGCAUUGACGGUAUUAUAUGAAUAAGCACCGGCUAACUCCGUG